rnacentral:rRNA from 1 species
UACGUAGGUGGCGAGCGUUGUCCGGAUUUACUGGGCGUAAAGGGCUUGUAGGCGGUCCGUUAAGUCCGAUGUGAAAUCUCCCGGCUCAACUGGGAGAGGUCAUUGGAUACUGGCGGACUAGAGGGGGGGUAGAGGAAAGCAGAAUUCCUGGUGUAGCGGUGAAAUGCGCAGAUAUCAGGAGGAACACCGGUGGCGAAGGCGGGUCUCUGGGCCGAUACUGACGCUGAGGAGCGAAAGCGUGGGGAGCGAACAGG